GAGAUAGAAAGUUGAAAAUAAAUAGGCGCAUGGGUAAAUCAAUCAUGCCUCUGUUCAAAAGCUUUGAAUUAUCGCUGGCGUCUUCAGUCUCAACAGUUCUUCAUGAUCAACCAGGAAGGUACGGGAAUAUUCAUAAAAUAGGAACUUGUAAAUCCUAACCUGGAGAGUGGGGUGAUUGGCCAAUCAUCUCUGAGUGCGGAGUGGCUCUCAAAGAAUUCUUUCACGCGUCGCAAACGAAAUUGGGAGAGCUACGAUCCACCAAAGAAUUUGAUGUAUGUCUUUUGAUAUAGGAGAAGGAAGGAAGAGGAAAGACGAAACUUGAUCGCUGUUCUGUCAAUACUCUGCUCUUCUUUCUCCGUCAAAGCGUUUUCACCUCGUCAAAUUCUCUAAAGUUUAAAAUUUCGAAAAUAUCCGAUAGAAAAAGAAAAUUGAAAUAAAGUUUCCCGUGGUCCACUCUA